UAAGUAUGCACUUUUCCUUCCAUGUAUGUCUUCUUCUUGAAGAUCCAUUUGCACCCGACUGUUUUACAGCCUGGUACAUUGUCAACCAAGUUCCAAACUUGAUUGUCAUACAUGGACUGUAUCUCGCUGUCCAUAGCCUCCUUCCAUUUAGCAGACUCCGGGCCUGCCAUGGCUUCCUUAACACUGCUAGGUUCAUCCAAAUUUACUAGUGUACUAUCACUAAUAAACGUAUCACCUUCCGUAGUAAUAUGAAAACCAUAAUAAAACGAAGGUGUGUUCCUAACCCGUGUGGAACGUCUCGGAGGUACAGACUCGUCAGCUGGAUCAACAGGAGUUUCUACCUCAGGUUGAUUGCUAGUGUCUGAGGUUCCUUCACCAAUUGAUUCUUGAAUUUCUUCAAGAUCAAUCUGCCUCCCACUGUCUCCUUGGCUUAUAAAUUCUUUCUCGCGAAAGAUCCCUCUUCGUGCUACAAAGACCACAUUCUCACUGGGUCUGUAGAAAAGGUAACCGAAGGAUUUCUGUGGGUAGCCGAUGAAAAUACACCUUUCACUUCGGGGUUCAAGCUUAUCAUGAGUUUCACGCCUCACGAAGGCUUCGCAACCCCAAAUUUUGAUGUGGUCCAAAUUGGGAACCUUCCCAGUCCACAUUUCAUGAGGUGUUUUGGUAACCUUCUUUGUAGGGACUAGAUUAAGGAUAUGGGCGGCAGUCUCUAAGGCAUACCCCCAAAAAGAGAUUGGUAACGAAACUCGACUCAUCAUAGAGCGAACCAUGUCCAACAAGGUACGAUUACGCCUCUCAGCUACACCAUUCAGCUGUGGUGUCCUGGGAGGAGUCAAUUGUGAGACAAUCCCACACUCCUUAAGAUAGUCAAGGAACUCGGUACUAAGAUACUCACCACCUCGAUCGGAUCGAAGCAUCUUAAUGUUCCUGCCCAAUUGAUUUUCUACUUCCUGUUUGAAUUCCUUAAACCUUUCAAAGGUUUCGGACUUGUGUUUGAUCAAGUAGACAUACCCAUAUCUACUAUAAUCAUCAAUAAAAGUCACAUAAUACCGAUUAGCGUCCCUUGUGGCGGUUUUGAAUGGCCCACAUACAUCAGUAUGUAUUAGGUCCAACAAACCUUCACCCCUCUCACAAGUUCCAGUGAAGGGUGAUUUUGUCAUUUUUCCAAGUAGACAAGAUUCACAACUAUCAUCUGAUUUGAGGUCAAAUGAUUCCAAGACUCCACUCUUUUGGAGUUGGUCUAUGCGUUUCUUGUUUACAUGUCCAAGACGACAAUGCCACAAUGAUGCUUUAUCUAGGCUAGUAGAAGAAUCAAUAUACAACACAUUAUUUCCUAAGUUGUCUACAAUCGACACAGUUUCAUACACGCCAUCACAAGGUAAUGCUUUAAAAUAAAACACAUUAUUAAAGAAAGCAUUAAUACCACCACAUUCAUUAUCAAACGAAAAGGUAAAACCUUGUUUGUACAAAGCAUGAAAAGAAAUAAUAUUCCUCGCCAUUUCAGACGAGUAUACACAUUUAUUCAAAUCUAAUUUUAACCCAUUAUUAAGCAACAAAGUAUAAACUCCAAUCUUGGAAACAGGUGAAGCCUUCCUAUUCCCCAUGAUUAAGUUUAUCUUCCCGUGCUCCACAUCCUCACUUCUUCUUAGGCCCUGCAAAUCAGAACAUAUGUGAAUACCACAUCCUGUAUCAAGCACCCAAGAGUUAGAAUAUGUUGAGUAAUUAGACAAUAUAGUGUAAAUACCUGCAUAGGUGGGUUUCACUUUCCCAUCCUUUAGAUCCUGCAAGUACUUAGGGCAGUUUCGCUUCCAGUGUGCCUUUUCAUGGCAAUAAAAGCAUUCAGCAUCCUUUGGAAUGGCAGAAGGAGUGACAGAACCGUUCUUAGUCUUGGAUGAGGAGCCUUCAAGAGACUUUCCCUUGGUACCCUUCGAAGGGUGCUUCCUCUUUUUCCCUUUGCCUUGCCCAAUAGCUAAAACAGGGGUAGAAGUUGGAGUAGGAGUAGUAGAGGUAACAACCGCUUUACCCUUAAGACCGGUUUCAGCGGUCUUCAAGAGUCCUUGAAGCUUGCUGAGGGUAACUUCCUCCUUGUUCAUAUGAUAUGUCAUUCGAAAAUGAUCAUAACAAGAAGGCAAGGAGUGCAAAAUGAUGUCAAUUGCUAACUCCUCGGGGAUGUUAACAUUCAGCUUCAGCAAACGGUCCACAUACCUUUGCAUCUUUUGCAUGUGGCCCGUGACGGAUUCACCGUCCUUCAUGCGGGUAGUUAUUAUGGAGGAGAUUAUUUCAUACCGCUCCUGACGAGCACUCUGAUGGUACCUUUCCAUCAAGUCUUGGUGCAUCUCAAAAGGGUAGAAAUCUUCAUAUGACUUUUGGAGCUCGGCUGUCAUCGUGGCCAUCAUGAUACAUGCCACCUUAGUAGCAUCUCUCUCAUGAGUCCUGAAUUCAGCGAUCUCCUCAGGAGUAGCAGUAGACUCAUCAAGUUCUUUUAACUCCUUAUCGAGGACAUAUUCCUUGUCCUCGUAACGAGUAACCAUCCUGAUGUUCCUAAUCCAAUCCAUGAAGUUGGAACCAUCAAAGAUGACCCUCCCACAAAGAUUCAUGAGAGAGAAAGAACCAGUUGGGUUAGAGCCUGAAGCAUUAGUGUUGGAAGACAUCUGAAAGAAGAAAGUAAGUUUAGAUUAGAUAUUUAGGAUCCUUAAUAAGACACCCAAAUGUAAUAUUAAGGCUAGGAUCCAAUCACAAUAUAUUACACUUAGAAGAGGGAUGCCGUAAUCUAAGUAAUAAUAUAUUUGAAAGGUAGGCGAAUGACGAUUCACCAAUUUCCACCAUGAAAACGAAAUGAUUAAUUAGGUUUAAUUGGAUUUGAAAUUCCUAGAUUCUUUUGAGAUUCAUUGAACUUUUCAAUGGCAUGUUUCAAUCUCGAUUGUGCCCUUCAAGUUUUGUGACUGGGAUGCCGAGGAUCACAAAACAAGGUGUGAAUAACCAUGCUAACUCACUUGGUACUCCUAAUAUUAUCACCUAAUCAAUGUGCCGGUUAACCACACACGCUCCAUUGAUCUAUGACAACAUUAAGUUACCCUUCGUGAUCCUUACUAGUCUAAUUAGUGUGCCGGUUAACCACACACGCUCCACUAACGACUUGGUAAGGUACAAAGUGUGAAUUCCAUGGAUUAGCACCAUGUUCACAUUUUCCUAAAAUAACUAAGAUUGGGAAUUAAAAGAGUUUAGUUAUUUUAUAAUAUUCAUUAUACUUUUAAUGAGGAUUUAAAGUCGUUGUUCUACCCGUUCGGCUAACGACCCUCCACCGAUCAAGCAAGCGGUGGGUGAGAGUAUACACCCAUUAAGUCGCCAUUUUAUAGGCAACAACCUUAUACCCACCUUAUAGACCGGCUUCGUGAAUGAGGCCUACUAACGGUAAAACGACUUAUUCUUAUACAUAUAUAUAAUAAUUAACCAUUAAUGUUAUAAAUAGUAUAAGGGUUGAAUUUUAACUAUUAAAACUCUAAGGUUUGGAAUUAAAGUUUAUUAAAGUGUGUGAAACUUUACAAAUUCCAAAACUUGAGGACAAGUUUUGUAACUUUGCAAAACUCUUCAUUUCAUAACUUAUGAAUUAAAGGUUCAUAAAAAUGAAGACUCUUCAUUUUCAUGUAACUUAUGUGUUUUAAGUGUGUGUUAAAUGAAAGUGACCUUUGGUAAUCCAUAACUUGAGGACAAAUUAUGGACUCCAUUAAAACACAUAAAUGAUUAAGAAUUAAUUCUAAACAAUUCAGCAAAUAAUUCCUAUCAUUUUCUAAAUUCAUAAGAACAUGAACAUGAUCAUCAAAAAUUCAAGAAUUAUAUGAACACAUAAAAUCAUGGAUUUUUGAUAUAUGCUAUUGUAAAUGGAUUAGAACAACCAUUACACCAACUAAAAUAAGUUUUACAACACCAAAACAAUUUAGGGUAAUGUUUCCAGUCCAUUUCCAGCAGCAAAAGUCGAGAUUCUGCAUUCUUUCGAUCCUACUCGCCGAGUGCACGAACGGACUCGUCGAGUAGGUUGAAGUUUGCCUUGGACUCGGCGAGUCCCCCCAAUGGACUCGGCGAGUCUAGCAUGCAGACAGCAACGAUUUCGACUUUUUUCACUAUUUUGCAUCAAGUAUCAAACAAGCAAGCCUAGGCUCUGAUACCACUGUUGGGUUUUGAGCAAUCUAACACUUCCUAAGUGUGCAUGCAACCCUAAUAAACCUUGGAUCUAUGUUUGUCUAAAUACAUGCAAAAUAAUAAUUUUCCAAGGUUUAUAACCUAUCUAACAUGGCAUGGGGAACAUUUCAACAUAAAAGAGUUAGAAGAGAUUACAUACCUUUGUUGUGUUGGGUUCUUAGGAGUUUGAGGGCCAAGCACCAAUAGUGUGAAUGCCUCAAAUGGAAUCACAAACACCACAAACUCUUGGAAAACUUUGAGAGAGUAUACACACUCUUGUAUUUUCGGCCACACACAUGCACACACACACUAGAACACUAGCUUUCUCUUAGGCUAUCUUAGGCUCUCUUUCAUGCUCCAUAAGCAUGCUUAUAUAGUAUGCAUGGUUAGGGUGAAACCCUAAUAACCCAUGUCUUUUCCUAUUCCAAGGAUCCAUGGGUUAAAAGCUCCAUGGAUCAUCCAUGGACUUCCACAUAAGCCUAGCCCAUUAACAAAUGAGUAUUAGCCCACACUAUAUAAAACAAAUAGCCCAUAAUUUAAUUAGUAUUCCUUUUAAUCUCUAAAUUAAUCCAUAAUUAAUUUAAGACUAAAACUAAUUAAAUAACGUAACUUCAUAUUAAUAUAUUAUAACUCAUAAUAUAUUAAUAAACAUAUGUGUAUAACUCUCAUAAAAUUAUCCAUAAUAGUUUGGAUGAGAUGCAACCCAAAUGGACCAUGCCGGUCGGGUCAAGUAUAUACCAAAUAAGUUAUGGACUUAGACACCUUAUCCAACAGACUCCCACUUGGAUAAGUCUAAUAACUAUAUUUGCCUAUAACUUCAGGAACCAACCAACAAUCGUAGCUCUCGAAAACUCCCUCGAACAAUGAAGACUCUGUCGAACUAUGAAGCGCCAUUUUAGAUAAGUGAUCACAUAAUCCUCUGUUCUCAUGAUAUCAGCCGGACAAACACAUGGAACUAUGUCUUGCUUAUUGUCUAGCAGUUGUUUCUCGAUUAUCCGAUUUGUUUGACGAAGAACUUCACUGAACACAUCGGUUUAGUUCUGACCAGGCCUGGUAUAUGGGUCAACACAAAAUCAUCGAGGGGCCCGGAUAUCGCUUCUAUUUCUAGAAGGAACAGAUAAACUUCGACUGAUAUGCUUGUUCUACUACUUAUUGAAUUGUACACAAAGGCACGUUUUAUAACAUCAAGUUACUGAUGCGUUUACGUGCAAUCAAUGCACAACCAACUCAUAGGUAACAACUCAUAUCUCUAGGUUUAAAGAUUUAUAUGAUGUUAUCGUCUCACGAUCACUCGAGAUAAAUUCCAUGAAGUGAUACAAGUGAGCGUGGGUUUAUACCAAUACUCAUAACUUAUGAGUACUCAUGAAUGUUGCAGCAACCAUUGCCAUGCCUAAACACCUUUAAGGCAUCUACAAACCCAAUUCAUGACAAUCUUGAUUCAUACCUACUUCCGACGUAUGAUCGAUUGUGGAGGUUUGAACAAAUUAAUUAUUCUGGAAGUCAAAACAUGCAAAACUGAAACAAUAGUAAAUAAUUGACAAUGAUAGUAACACUUUACUCAUAAAUAAAUCACAAAUUUUAUUCAUCAUCAAACGUCGAUUACAUUUUACAAGUUUCAGGAAAACUAUCUAAUCUGUAAAACUAAUAUCGUCCCUCAGCCCGAUGCGUCUCGCAUGCUGAAAAUGCUUAACCCUCGUCAGUCCCUUCGUAAGGGGAUCUGCAGGAUUCUCAUCUGACGAUAUCCUCCUUGUCACAAGGAGUCCUUCUUCAAUCUUGUGCCUUAUGAAGUGAUAUUUUCUGUCAAUGUGUCGGGAUCUGCCAUGAUCUCUUGGUUCCUUGGCUAAGAUAACCGCAGCAUUGUUGUCACAGAAAAUCUCUAUAGGUUCCUUAAUAGCUGGUACAACUCCAAGGUCUCCGAUGAAGUUCUUUAGCCAUAUCGCCUCCUUCGCUGCUUCACUCGCUGCUAUAUACUCUGAUUCACAAGUCGAAUCAGCCACCGUCUCCUGCUUGGAACUCUUCCAAGAAAUUGCCCCUCCAUUUAAGGUAAAGAUCCAGCCCGACUGAGAGCGGAAAUUAUCCCUAUCAGUCUGAAAACCAGCAUCACUAUACCCUAAUAUUCUCAAGUCAUCACUGCCACCAAGGGUAAGGACCCAAUCCUUAGUCCUCCGCAGGUACUUGAGAAUGUUCUUUACCGCGGUCCAAUGAGCCUUGCCAGGGUUCCCCUGAUACCUGCUGACCAUGCUCAAAGCAAAUGCCACAUCAGGACGGGUACAAGUCAUAGCAUACAUGAUCGAGCCAACUGCGGAAGCAUAUGGUAAUUGGCUCAUCUCAGCUAUCUCAGCCUCUGUACUCGGACUCUGAGUCUUACUCAGUUUGGUAUUGCUUUGGAUCGGUAAAUCUCCUUUCUUGGAAUUCUCCAUGUUGAACCUUUUCAACACCUUAUCCAAGUAGAUACUCUGACUAAGUCCAAUUAGUCUUCUACUCCUUUCUCUUAAUAUCCUUAUCCCUAGGAUAUAGGUAGCCUCCCCUAGGUCCUUCAUAGCAAAGCACUUCCCAAGCCAGGACUUAACCUCCUGCAAGGUUGGGAUGUCAUUUCCUAUGAGUAGUAUGUCAUCCACAUACAGUACCAAGAAGCUAACUAUACUCCCACUAGCUCUGACAUACACGCAAGACUCAUCUUCGCUUCUCAAGAAGCCAAACUCUUUUACCUUCUCAUCAAAACAAAGAUUCCAGCUACGAGAUGCUUGUUUUAAUCCAUAAAUGGAUUUCUUAAGCUUGCAUACUCUAUUAGGGUACUCUGCAUUGACAAAACCCUCUGGCUGAUUCAUGUACACAUCCUCAGCCAACUUUCCAUUAAGGAAAGCGGUUUUGACAUCCAUUUGCCAUAUUUCAUAAUCAUGAAAUGCUGCAAUGGCUAACAUAACCCUAAUAGACUUAAUCUUGGCCACCGGCGAGAAGGUUUCAUCAUAAUCAAUACCUUGAGUUUGAGUAAAACCCUUCGCAACCAGUCGAGCCUUAUAAGUAUGCACUUUUCCUUCCAUGUCGGUCUUCUUUUUGAAGAUCCAUUUGCACCCGACUGUUUUACGGCCUGGUACAUUGUCAACCAAGUUCCAAACUUGAUUGUCAUACAUGGACUGUAUCUCGCUGUCCAUAGCCUCCUUCCAUUUAGCAGACUCCGGGCCUGCCAUGGCUUCCUUAACACUGCUAGGUUCAUCCAAAUUUACUAGUGUACUAUCACUAAUAAACGUAUCACCUUCCGUAGUAAUAUGAAAACCAUAAUAAAACGAAGGUGUGUUCCUAACCCGUGUGGAACGUCUCGGAGGUACAGACUCGUCAGCUGGAUCAACAGGAGUUUCUUCCUCAGGUUGAUUGCUAGUGUCUGAGGUUCCUUCACCAAUUGAUUCUUGAAUUUCUUCAAGAUCAAUCUGCCUCCCACUGUCUCCUUGGCUUAUAAAUUCUUUCUCGCGAAAGAUCCCUCUUCGUGCUACAAAGACCACAUUCUCACUGGGUCUGUAGAAAAGGUAACCGAAGGAUUUCUGUGGGUAGCCGAUGAAAAUACACCUUUCACUUCGGGGUUCAAGCUUAUCAUGAGUUUCACGCCUCA
rnacentral:lncRNA from 1 species